UACGUAGGUGGCAAGCGUUGUCCGGAUUUACUGGGCGUAAAGAGCGCGCAGGCGGUCGGAUAAGUCGAAUGUGAAAGCCCCCGGCUCAACUGGGGAGGGUCAUUCGAAACUGUCCAACUCGAAGGCAGGAGAGGGAAGCGGAAUUCCUGGUGUAGCGGUGAAAUGCGUAGAUAUCAGGAGGAACACCUGCGGUGUAGACGGCUUUCUGGACCAUUGUUGACGCUGAGACACGAAAGCGUGGGUAGCAAACAGG
rnacentral:rRNA from 1 species